GAUGAACGCUGGCGGCGUGCUUAACACAUGCAAGUCGAACGAAGCAUUUAGGACAGAUUACUUCGGUUUGAAGUUCUUUAUGACUGAGUGGCGGACGGGUGAGUAACGCGUGGGUAACCUGCCUUGUACUGGGGGAUAGCAGCUGGAAACGGCUGGUAAUACCGCAUAAGCGCACAAUGUUGCAUGACAUGGUGUGAAAAGCUCCGGUGGUAUAAGAUGGACCCGCGUCUGAUUAGCUAGUUGGUGAGAUAACAGCCCACCAAGGCGACGAUCAGUAGCCGACCUGAGAGGGUGACCGGCCACAUUGGGACUGAGACACGGCCCAGACUCCUACGGGAGGCAGCAGUGGGGAAUAUUGCACAAUGGAGGAAACUCUGAUGCAGCGACGCCGCGUGAGUGAAGAAGUAAUUCGUUAUGUAAAGCUCUAUCAGCAGGGAAGAUAGUGACGGUACCUGACUAAGAAGCUCCGGCUAAAUACGUG
rnacentral:rRNA from 1 species